AUGCCCUCCCCUGGCGAGUCUGCACCUCAGGCAGCAGCAGUUCCCGACUCAGCUGGGACUAACUCCUUCCCCCUGCCACCGCCAUCUCCAAGAGAAAUUCUGCCCCUAGGGCUGGCGUCUGACCUCCAGAGAGAUCUGGCGCUGAAACGCUUUCACGCCCUGGGAACAGCAUUCGCCCCAGGCGUGCGUGCGUUCGGGCUCGGGCUCGGGCUCGGGCUCCGGCUAGGUCAGAGCAGCACGCGCAGCUCCGGCCCUCCCCCUCGUCUUCGGCGCUCCCUCCUUUCUCCACCUCCCACCAACCUGUUACUCCGCUGCAGAGCUCCACCCCCGCGGGCCGUCAGUGCCCGCCCCGCCUUUCCCAGCUCCGGUUGGUCCGCUUCCCGUAGGGGGCGGGGCCUCCGCCGCAGGGACCGGGACCCGGGGUCUCCAGCCGCGAGGGGCGGGCCGGGUCACGUGGACCGGCGGGCUGCGGAGGGCCGGGGAGGGGCGGCGAGGGGCGCGGAGGCCAUUUUGGGGGCGUCGCGGAUGGCUGUGAGUGACCGCCGGCCAAGACCCCGGGAGCCAAAGAAGAGACGUUCUUCGCCGAGAGUCUUCGGGGUUUCCUGCUUCAACAGUGCUUGGACGGAACCCGGCGCUCGGCGCUCGUCCCCCGUCCCGGCCGGCCGCCCAUAGCCAGCCCUCCGUCACCUCUUCACCGCGUCCUCGGACCGCCCCAAGGUCCCCGCCGCCGCUCCAGUGCCGCGCAGCCACCGCCACCGCCGUUUGUCCUUAGCCUCCGCCAUGACGACCGCGUCCACCUCGCAGGUGCGCCAGAACUACCACCAGGACUCAGAGGCCGCCAUCAACCGCCAGAUCAACCUGGAGCUCUAGGCUUCCUACGUUUACCUGUCUAAGUCUGACUACUUUGACUGCGAUAAUGUGGCUUUGAAGAACUUUGCCAAAUACUUUCUUCACCAGUCUCAUGAGGAAAGGGAACAUGCUGAGAAACUGAUGAAGCUGCAGAACCAACGAGGUGGCCGAAUCUUCCUUCAGGAUAUUAAGAAACCAGACUAUGACGACUGGGAGAGCGGGCUGAAUGCGAUGGAGUGUGCUUUACAUUUGGAAAAAAAUGUGAAUCAGUCACUACUGGAACUGCACAAACUGGCCACUGACAAAAAUGACCCCCAUUUGUGUGACUUCAUUGAGACACAUUACCUGAAUGAGCAGGUGAAAGCCAUCAAAGAAUUGGGUGACCACGUGACCAACUUGCGCAAGAUGGGAGCACCCGAAUCUGGCUUGGCAGAGUAUCUCUUUGACAAGCACACCCUGGGAGACAGUGAUAAUGAAAGCUAAGCCUCAGGCUAAUUUCCCCAUAGCCAUGGGGUGACUUC